GGCAGCGUCGUCUAACGGCCAGGAUGCGGCCCUUCAAGGCUGAGAUGGGAGUGCGAUUCUCCUCGCUGCUACCA
rnacentral:tRNA from 1 species